GCCUUGGCUUUGCGAUUAACCACGUUUCCACUCCAGUCUAACUGAGGCCAUCCUGAACUGAUUCGUGGGAAACUAACUACAUGAAUGUAUGGUUUCUACCCAACAUUUUGCAGAUGACAGCAGAAGUCCAGUACUAAUGAGCUAGGGCUGAUGGUUUUUCAGCACUGGAAUGAGAAUCUAAGAGAUUCAGCAUGGUAGGUGGAGUUGGUCCUGGCUGAAGAGAAGGCCUCUGCAUGGCAUCCCUGCUGUGGUGGAGCUCUUAUGGGGGCUGUUCAUUCCUCUUGGGAAAAGGAAGAAGGAAAAUGCCCUGACAGCCACAAAUCCAUUCAUCUUAAUAUCAAAGGCCAAUUACAUUGUCAUGGAGAUCACUGAAUAAGGCUUUUGUGCAAACUGACAGCACGUGUUGAUUUAACCUUUUGUAUUCCAUGAUUUGUGUAUCUUUCCUACCAUCUGACACCUAUAAGGCACAGUGUUCCUGCAGUUUAAUCAUGAAAAAAAGUUUACACCUUUUUGUGUAAUGUAUGUAACAUAACACAUUUUUGUGUAACGUAUGCCUUUUUGUUGUUUUGAUUUUAAGUGAAUGUAUUUAUAGA